rnacentral:rRNA from 1 species
CUUAAUUCGAUGCAACGCGAAGAACCUUACCAGGGCUUGACAUGCGGGGUGAAGCCGUAGAAAUACGGUCCUCCUUCGGGAGCCCGCACAGGUGCUGCAUGGCUGUCGUCAGCUCGUGCCGUGAGGUGUUGCCUUAAGUGGCGCAACGAGCGCAACCCUUGUCCCUAGUUGCCAGCGGGCGAUGCCGGGAACUCUAGGGAGACUGCCGGUGCCAAACCGGAGGAAGGUGGGGAUGAGGUCAAGUCGUCAUGCCCCUUAUGUCCAGGGCUGCACACAUGCUACAAUGCGUGGUACAGAGGGCUGCGAUCCCGUGAGGGGGAGCGAAUCCCAAAAAGCCACGCUCAGUUCGGAUCGGGGUCUGCAACCCGACCCCGUGAAGUCGGAGUCGCUAGUAAUCGCGGAUCAGCAAUGCCG